rnacentral:rRNA from 1 species
GACGAACGCUGGCGGCGUGCUUAACACAUGCAAGUCGUACGGUAAGGCGCUUCCGGGGGUACACGUGUGGCGCACGGGUGUGUAACACGUGUGUAACCUGCCCACAACUUUGGGAUAACGCUAGGAAACUGGUGCUAAUUCUGGAUAUGUUCUCCUGCUGCAUGGUGGGGGUUGGAAAGCUCCGGCGGUUGUGGAUGGACUCGCGGCCUAUCAGCUUGUUGGUGGGGUAGUGGCCUACCAAGGCGGCGACGUGUAGCUGGCCUGAGAGGGUGACCGGCCACAUUGAGACUGAGGUACGGCCCAGAUGCCGACGGGAGGCAAAAGGGGGGAAGAUUGCACCAGGGGCGCAAGCCGGAUGCAGAAGCGCCGCGUGCGGGAUAACGGCCUUCGGGUUGUAAAACGCUUUCAGCAGGGACGAAGCUUUUUGUGACGUUACCUGCAGAAGAAGCACCGGCUAACUACGUG